UAGGAAUUAGUUAAAAGAUAAUAUAAGAUUGUCAGUCUUAAGUUACUAACAUAUUAGUAUUUCUAA
rnacentral:tRNA from 1 species